GGGUUGUGAGGUUAAGCGACUAAGCGUACACGGUGGAUGCCCUGGCAGUCAGAGGCGAUGAAGGGCGUGCUAAUCUGCGAUAAGCGCCGGUAAGGUGAUAUGAACCGUUAUAACCGGCGAUACCCGAAUGGGGAAACCCAGUGUGACUCGUCACACUAUCAUUAACUGAAUCCAUAGGUUAAUGAGGCGAACCGGGGGAACUGAAACAUCUAAGUACCCCGAGGAAAAGAAAUCAACCGAGAUUCCCCCAGUAGCGGCGAGCGAACGGGGAGGAGCCCAGAGCCUGAAUCAGCAUGUGUGUUAGUGGAAGCGUCUGGAAAGGCGCGCGAUACAGGGUGACAGCCCCGUACACAAAAGCGCAUGUGCUGUGAGCUCGAUGAGUAGGGCGGGACACGUGGUAUCCUGUCUGAAUAUGGGGGGACCAUCCUCCAAGGCUAAAUACUCCUGACUGACCGAUAGUGAACCAGUACCGUGAGGGAAAGGCGAAAAGAACCCCGGCGAGGGGAGUGAAAAAGAACCUGAAACCGUGUACGUACAAGCAGUGGGAGCCCCACCACUAAGCCAGUGGUGAACUCCACAUACGCAUCCUUUGCUGAGGAUACGGUUAACGGAGCGAAAGCGACGUUCAACCGCAAAAGAAGCAGAGGGGGCUUAGUGGUGGGGUGACUGCGUACCUUUUGUAUAAUGGGUCAGCGACUUAUAUUCUGUAGCAAGGUUAACCG
rnacentral:rRNA from 1 species